AUGGCCAUCGUCGCCGCGGUGCCGUUCCGGGAGAAAAAAAAGGUUCAAUGGUUGCAGCUCUGCGCGUGGUCGGUUGCAGCUCAGACAGGGUCGGGUCAGACGAGGCAGGCAGAGCUCUGGUGGCGCGGAUCCGAGCAGAUCCGGCCGAGGGUGGACGGAUCGGCUGAUUCCCGUGGCCGCGGCGUCCCGGAGGCCUGCAUGCGGCCAUGUCAUUUCUUCCAUAGAAAUAGAUCACUUGAGUCCUGCAUUACAUCAAAGGACGGCGGCUUCGCCGGAACCGGAACUGCCUUGUUGUUCCGGCGGUGCUUGCCGGGGGUGUCUGGCUGGCUUGGGGGUUUUGUCGGCCACAGUGCUCACGGCGCGCGGGUGACGGCCGUUAGGGCGCACGGGCCGUCCCGACCAGGUCAAAACGGCCGCCCCCUCACUCUGUCUCCCUCGCGCUCACUCACUCUCACUCUCCCCCUCGCUCUGUUUCCCCUGGCCGAGCUCUCCAUCGUCGCCGACCACCUCAGUUCCUCGUCGCCGGCCAGGAUGCCUUCUUGGAAUGAUGGGGAUGAGAGCUCCGACGACAGCAUGGGGGGCAACCUGAUGGACAUGGAGUACUUUGACACACCUGACACCAUCCCCGAGCCACUCUGGUGUGGUGCUCCUAUGGAGGAAGUUGCCAAGUGUACUCUGCACGAUAUGAAGCCUAGGAAGUGUGUUGCUUUUGAAGGUGCUAACACUGGGAGGAGGUUUUAUGGAUGCCCUGUUCAGGGAGGUGUGAAUUGUGGUGUAGUUCAGUGGGUUGAUCCUGUCUGGCCUGAUGUACUUAAGAACUGCCUCAUCAAGUUGUGGGAAAUGUUCCAUGAGCAAAACCUUGGAAGGAUUCAAGACAAGCAUGCAUAUGAGGAUGAGGUUGCCAAGUUGAAAAAGGACUAUGAUCUGCUCUGCACUGAGUAUCAUAAAAUGGUUGAUGAUGUUAGCAAGAUGUUUGACUGGCAGGAUGGUGUUGGCAAGAUUGACUACCAAAAAGCAAUGGAUGCUGAGAAAUUUGAGAAACUGGGCUGUUUUAUUACUCCACCUACCUACCACCAACCAUUAGUAGUCUAUAAAGCCCACCCCUUGAGUGAAACCGCAGUCAAUCCCCCCAUCCCCACCCUUCUCAACCCCCCAGCCACCAAAGAAACCCUAGAAUCCAAGGGAGAGAUGGAUCCUGGAGAGGUCAUAGAUGGAGAAGAAGAGGUGCCCAGGCAAGCCAGGCGCAAAGAUGCAAGGAGGAGGGCGAGAAGGCAACUUGCUGAGAUGAUCCUUGCAGCACGCAACCACAAGGACAUAGAGCAGUUCCUGGAGGCAUUCCCCCCUGGUUCCAACCCUAGUGAUGAUGAUAUCAUCUACUGGGCAAGGAGGAGGGCAAAUUUGCAUCCCUUUCAGAUCUGUCUUUCUAUCUGUGUGAUGUUUGAAGUUGGUGUAAGAACAAUUUUGAAUGAGCUAUAUAGCCACUUUGGGGUUGGUCGACAAGUAGCCACCCAAAGUGGCCAAAUUUGGGUGGCUUUAGGGUUGGUCGACAAGUUCCACCCCAAAGUGGCCAAAUGUGGCCACUUUGGGGUUGGUCGACAACUAGCCACUGUUGGGGUUGGUCGACAAGUUGCCCCCCAAACAUUGAAACCUCUUGCACUUGACCUGGUGUUCUUUGCUAGAGAUGAUGCACUUGACCUGGUGUUGUUGGCUGGUGCUGAAGCAGGUGGUGGGUUCUUUCUCUUUCUUGAUCCACCUGUUGAAACUACAGUAGAUGUGGUUGCCCUUGUUGUAGCAGAUGUGGUUGCCCUUGUUGAAGUUGUUGCUGGUUUCCUGCCCCUAAGUGGUCCUAAAGCUGGAGCAGAACCUGCAGCUGGAGCUGGACCUGAAGCUGGAGCUGGACCUGAUAAUGUGGCCCUAGCUGGAGGUGGCCUAGUUGGUGCUGAAGUUGCUGGAUCACAGUUACUGCAUGUUAUUGUGCCCAUCCUUGAUGUAUCCUUUGGAGCUGGCACCUCAAAUUCAUCAUUUCUCCUAGCUGUCUGCUUCUUGCCUUUCUUCUCCCUAAAAACGGGUGGUUCUAUGUCUGGCACUACAAGGAUACCCCCUAUAAAGCAACACAAAUUGAAAGGAGAGAGAGACACGCGAGAAACAGAGCCUCUAAUUGCCCUGGUCUCUCCCAAAUCGCCGACACCAACCGUCUCGUCUCCCUCCUCCGCCCAACCUCGCCACCGGCCCUUCUCCUUCCAAUCUCCAUCUCGCAACCCCGGAGGCUACCGGAUCCACCGCACCCCCACCCACCCAUCCCUCGCGCGUCCAAUUUCUCUCUUCACACGGUUCCUCGUUGCGCCACCGGCGGUGGCUGCUUCCAGCGACAUCGGCGCUCGCGGCCACCAAAGCCCACCUGCAACCCUCCCCCCAUGCCUAGGGUUUCGGGCGUCGGCUCCAGCGCCGUUGGCCAUGUCGUCCUCGUUUCAUCCGGGAGUAACGGCCACUAGACAGCCUUGCUGUUGCUCGGGACGAAGCAACCAUGUAGCUUUCUCCUCCUUCUCUGGCUUCAGAACUCGGAGGAGAAAUCAUAAUUGUCGUCAAAGUAACAACUAUGGAAGAGAUAAAAAGGUGCAUGGAGAAGGAUGUUAA
rnacentral:rRNA from 1 species